UACGAAGGGUGCAAGCGUUACUCGGAAUUACUGGGCGUAAAGCGUGCGUAGGUGGUUUGUUAAGUCUGAUGUGAAAGCCCUGGGCUCAACCUGGAAAUUGCAUUGGAUACUGGCAGGCUAGAGUGCGGUAGAGGAUGGCGGAAUUCCCGGUGUAGCAGUGAAAUGCGUAGAGAUCGGGAGGAACAUCCGUGGCGAAGGCGACUACCUGGACCAGCACUGACACUGAGGCACGAAAGCGUGGGGAGCAAACAGG
rnacentral:rRNA from 1 species